UUUCUCUUUCCAUCUGGGGCAUAGUGGGCAGCAAGUGUUGUAGGGGAGUAGCCUUUGAUCCUUUGUUACUGGGGCGUAGGGAAAUGGUUUUUUUUUUUUUCUUUUUUGAUCCAGCUUUAGGAAGUUAGCACAAAUCGGCUUUAGGUUCCCUGACCCCAGACCCAGGUGUUUCUUGAUCCAGCUUUAGGACGUUAGCACAAAUUAGCCUUAGGCUACCUGCCCCCAGACCCCGGUAUUUUCGUUUUUAUGAUCCAGCUUUAGGAAAUUAGCGGGAAUUGGCUCUCAAUUCCCUGCCUCCAGACCUUAUUCUCCUGCCUCAAGAUCUCUGAGAUAGCUGUGGUCGAAUGGAAGGGAGAAUUCAACCCUGCAAGUUAGGAGACCAUUGCUAGUACUGGUUCAGUCACUAAGGACCUGUGGUGGUAUUGCAGAAUGUCCCUUCACCAACGGUUCCUCUGUUUGUACGGUAAGUCCCAUCAUGUCUAUGGACUUCAGUUUCCAGACAUGAAACACAAGAGGCUUGGACGAGAUUAGAAAUCAAGAACUCGAAUGCGUAUGGUCAGAGCCACGAGAGUUUCCAUAAAGGAACACAACCAUGUGGACAACUUGAUUAUGCCCUACAAAACUGAAUUCCUGUGAGCAUUCCUCUUCAAGAUGGAAGAAAAAGGGAAUAUUUCACAACCCCAAUGGUGAAACGUCUGCCUAUAGCCAACAAUACAAUCUUCUUGCUCUGUCACCCAGGCUGAAAUGCAGUGGCGCCAUCUCGUCUCACUCGGCUCACUACAACCUCCGCCUCCCGGGUUCAAGCAAUUCUUGUGCCUCAGUCACCCAAGUAGCUAGAAUUACAGUCAUGCGUCACCAUGCCCAGCUAAUUUUUUUAUUUUUAGUAGAGACAUGUUUCACCAUGUUGCCAAGGCUGGUCUGGAAUUCCUCGCCUCAAGUGAUCCGCCCACCUCAGCCUCCCAAAUUGUUGGGAUUACAGACGUGAGCCACUGUGCUCAGCCCACAAUUACUUUUAAAAUAAAUCAAGAGCCUUUUAUACUUGUGUAAGACUUCUUUGAGCUCUGUUUUACUUCUGUAAAAAUGUUUGAGAAGAAUGACACUGUACAAGCUCUCCAUUCUGGCUAGCUGUGCUGACUUCGGCAUUAUGUCCCGUUAAGGCUGUCUAGGCUCUGGUUCUCUUGGUAGCCUCCACUCACCAGUGUAAGUCCUUGAUCUCUUCUUUAUCAGGGGGAUUUACCAUACCUAUACUGCCCAAGAGUAAGUGAUUUGAUCUAGAAAGCUUGCAGCUUCCUUAAACUCUUCUAGGUAGCCAGAUUCACUUAACUUUCUCAAUGAGCUUGAUUUGGCCCUCUUGGAAAAGCUACCGAACUAACAGCUGCCAUUGCAGGGGUGCGAAUGAUGCCUCCUAAUUAUUAAGAUUCCUCCUCUGGAUCAUGGCUGGAAAGAAUUCCUAAACAAAGUAUACCAAGGUGUAUGUUUAAAAAAUAAGUUUAAAUAUGCGUAAAAGAGAAGUAAGGUAAAUUCCCAAACGAAGGACGAAGAGAUAAGUAUAUCUGUAGAAAACAUAAACUUGAUGCCAGAUAUUUCUUCAAGGAUUGAUUAAAGGGCAAAAACCUUUUCUGAGAAAGUCACUCGCCAUGCCAUCUAGCUUAUAACCAAGAGACAAAACUAGAGAAAUAUUGGUUAAAGAAAGAUACGUUAAAACAGUGAGUCCUUUACCUAGGAGGAGAGUGCUGUGCUGUGGGGGUUAUUAAGAGGCUUAAAAAAUUCAACUUUAUGAAAGUAAAUCUGAUCUACAACAAAUAUAUCAUGUUAAAUAUACAAUUUGAUGAGUUUUCCUAAAUAUAUACACCCAAAUAAUCUCUCCUACAAUCAAUAUGUAUAAUAUUUCCAUUAUCCUCCAAAUUUCCUCAUCUGUUUUUGUAGUAAAUCUCACUCUACUACAGAUCCUGGGCAACUGUUGAUUUGCUUUCUGACAAUAUAGGUUUUUUUUUUUUUCUCUUCAAAAAUCUCAUUUAAAUGGAAUCAUGCAGUGUCUGUUUUUUUGUGUCUGUCUUUUUUGCUUAGCGUAAUGUUCUUCAGCUUCAUCAAUGUUGUUGCCUACGUUAGUAUUUAUUCCAUUCUAUUGCUGAACAGUAG
rnacentral:lncRNA from 1 species